UGCAAGUCGAGCGAACAGACAAGGAGCUUGCUCCUUUGACGUUAGCGGCGGACGGGUGAGUAACACGUGGGUAACCUACCUAUAAGACUGGGAUAACUUCGGGAAACCGGAGCUAAUACCGGAUAAUAUUUCGAACCGCAUGGUUCGAUAGUGAAAGAUGGUUUUGCUAUCACUUAUAGAUGGACCCGCGCCGUAUUAGCUAGUUGGUAAGGUAACGGCUUACCAAGGCGACGAUACGUAGCCGACCUGAGAGGGUGAUCGGCCACACUGGAACUGAGACACGGUCCAGACUCCUACGGGAGGCAGCAGUAGGGAAUCUUCCGCAAUGGGCGAAAGCCUGACGGAGCAACGCCGCGUGAGUGAUGAAGGUCUUCGGAUCGUAAAACUCUGUUAUUAGGGAAGAACAUACGUGUAAGUAACUAUGCACGUCUUGACGGUACCUAAUCAGAAAGCCACGGCUAACUACGUGCCAGCAGCCGCGGUAAUACGUAGGUGGCAAGCGUUAUCCGGAAUUAUUGGGCGUAAAGCGCGCGUAGGCGGUUUUUUAAGUCUGAUGUGAAAGCCCACGGCUCAACCGUGGAGGGUCAUUGGAAACUGGAAAACUUGAGUGCAGAAGAGGAAAGUGGAAUUCCAUGUGUAGCGGUGAAAUGCGCAGAGAUAUGGAGGAACACCAGUGGCGAAGGCGACUUUCUGGUCUGUAACUGACGCUGAUGUGCGAAAGCGUGGGGAUCAAACAGGAUUAGAUACCCUGGUAGUCCACGCCGUAAACGAUGAGUGCUAAGUGUUAAGGGGGUUUCCGCCCCUUAGUGCUGCAGCUAACGCAUUAAGCACUCCGCCUGGGGAGUACGACCGCAAGGUUG
rnacentral:rRNA from 1 species